ensembl:ncRNA asRNA:CR44021 antisense RNA:CR44021
CGAAUUCCCCGCAGUAGUUGGGCGCCGAGAAGAGCGUCACCAGCUGACGUUUGGCGAAGAACUCAUAACCGUCCUCCACUACCUGAUGAGCCCGACAGAUCAGGUCAAAUUCGUGCUUCUGUAAAAAUUUACCCACAACCUGCAAGAGCGAAUGCAUAAACAACAUUGUGGCGAACAGUGUAAUGCGAAGAACCCACCUCUGCUCCAAAUGUGAAGCUCACGCCGCGAUCAUUCUCGCCCCAGCCCAUGGUAUCCUUAUCCGGAUCCGACCACAGCAGAUCGCACAGCAGUCCCUGAUCGGGCACGUCUGUGGGACGCAUGAUGCGUCGUAUCUGCUCCAUGGACGACAGAUCUGGACUCAGGCCACCGUGGCAGCAGAAGAUCUUCUCAUCCACGAUGGCGGCCACCGGCAGGCAGUUGAAGCAGUCCGUGAAAGUUUUCCACAGCUUGAUGG